GUCUUUUUGAAAAUAAUAUAAAGUNUAAUNUGCUCAAUGAUAUUUAAUUAAAUAGCUGCGGUAUAUUAACCGUACAAAGGUAGCAUAAUCAAUAGUUUUUUAAUUGGAAGCUGGAAUGAAAGAUUUAAUGAAAUAAUUAUUGUCUCAAUUUUAAAUAAAAUAGAAUUUUUUUUUUAGUAAAAAUACUAAAAUUAUUUUAAAAGACGAGAAGACCCUAUAGAUUUUUAUAAUUUUAUUUAAAAAUUUUUAUAUAAAAUUAUUUGGUUGGGGAAAUUAUUAAAUUUAAUUAAUUUUAAUUAUAUAAAACAAAAAUAAUUGAUUUAAUUGAUUUUAAAUUUUUAGAUUAAAAGAUUAAAAUACCUUAGGGAUAACAGCGUAAUUUUUUUAGAAAGAUCUUAUUAAUAAAAAAGUUUGC
rnacentral:rRNA from 1 species